UCGUGAUGCAGCCAUGCCGCGUGUAUGAUGAAGGCCUUCGGGUUGUAAAGCUCUUUUUCGGGGAGGAAGGGAGUCAAGUUUAUACCUUUGCUCAUUGACGGUACCCGCAAAAAAAGCACCGGCUAACUCCGUGCCAGCAGCCGCGAUAAUAA
rnacentral:rRNA from 1 species